AGUGAACGCUGGCGGUAGGCCUAACACAUGCAAGUCGAACGGCAGCACAGUAAGAGCUUGCUCUUACGGGUGGCGAGUGGCGGACGGGUGAGGAAUACAUCGGAAUCUACUUUUUCGUGGGGGAUAACGUAGGGAAACUUACGCUAAUACCGCAUACGACCUACGGGUGAAAGCAGGGGAUCUUCGGACCUUGCGCGAUUGAAUGAGCCGAUGUCGGAUUAGCUAGUUGGCGGGGUAAAGGCCCACCAAGGCGACGAUCCGUAGCUGGUCUGAGAGGAUGAUCAGCCACACUGGAACUGAGACACGGUCCAGACUCCUACGGGAGGCAGCAGUGGGGAAUAUUGGACAAUGGGCGCAAGCCUGAUCCAGCCAUACCGCGUGGGUGAAGAAGGCCUUCGGGUUGUAAGGCCCUUUUGUUGGGAAAGAAAUCCAGCCGGCUAAUACCUGGUUGGGAUGACGGUACCCAAAGAAUAAGCACCGGCUAACUUCGUG
rnacentral:rRNA from 1 species